GGAAGUACUGCAUUGUUUAGAGCAAGUAACCUAUUUAAAUUUCAAUAUAUUCUACACGUUAACAUGCCACAUUUACAAAAAUAUGUUUAGUUCAUUUACUUUAUCCAGGAAUGUAUACAUAUACAUAAACAUACAUAUAUGUAUACACAUACACAUAUAUACACACAACAUAUAUUGAAGUGUUCGGAAAGUAAUAUUGUAUUUCAUUGUUAUGAAUUAUAAUCUACCAAUUAAGGAAUGAUUUCAUUCAAAUUGUAGAAAAUAUCUAGAUCCAGUUUAUCAUCUCUUCUAUCCAACAGCAGGGUCAAAGGACAAAAACACUUGUGGAGUAUAUCCUGAUGUAGUGAAGGCUUGUAAAUACCAGCUGUGGUUUUACAAGGUGAUUUGGAUCUUUCCAAUAAGCCCUGGAAGAUUAACCAGUUUGGAUUAUGAUCAUUUGAGAACGACAGCUGAAUCAGAUCCUUGUCAAAGGAGAUUUGGUGCAGACACACAAACAGGCAAACUAGUUUUGUCUUCUUCAUGAGCUCUCACUUGAGAACCGAACUCAUUGUUCUAUCACCUUCUCCAGUAGUCACUUGACUAGGGAUAAUGAUCACUGAUUUUUGCACCACAUUGUUACAGGCUGACAAAAAAUGGAUACAGCUUGUCAACAAGAAAACAAGUGGGUAUUGACAAAUGAGAAACUAGUACCAAGACCAAAUUCAGACUUCAUCCACAUAAGUCCUAGCUAAGUGUCUGACAGAACAUGAAUGGUGUAGUCCACUGGAAUGACCAUUACUGCAGACAUAUAUUGUUAGCAACUUCACUGUGUAAAUGAAGCCUUAUACUGAAAGUGGCCAGCUUUGGUUAGCAGAAAAGAUGUUAUUCUUCAGCAUGACAAUGCAAGAGCCCUCUGCAAAGUGUGCAGAGUCUUACUCCAGAUGUCAAAGAAAGGAACUUUUACUUCCUCUCCAAUCAUGAACAGUUUACAAAACCUUCAGAGCUGUUACAAAAUCUUAAGUCUCUCAAUCUCUGAUCUCUCAUGGUGACCUCUGUACACGAAACACUUCCAAAACUGCGUUAAAGAAACUAAGAUUGAUCUUCAGUACCAGGUUCUAAUCCAUUGUUCCACCAAGAUCAAAUAAAACUCAAACUGGAUCACGUAUACGGGAUAAUGCUACUGCUAGACAUGCAACCAUCCUGAACCACACCCAAAAGAAGACUAUUCAAUAAAUUGACUUAAGUUCAUUCCCUUAAGAUUCUUCAAACGAAGAGUUCAUCGACGUGCUCUGUUACUUCUCUCUGAUACUUCUAUCACUACUACAAUAGAUAAUACCCUUCCGAACCAGCCCUCUGUGUAUCCUUGCGAUCCAGGAGAACUUGUAUUUCGCCGUCUCAUCACGUUUAUCGUGUAUUACCUUACAGACUCCAUACUAAACACUCCGGUCAAGUCCUUCCCCACAGAACUCUAAUCCUCUAGAAUUCUUUCCUCACCCACGUUUUAUCUACGCAUAUCGAUCUAUAGACGUUUAAGCUGAAUGUCAACCGCAUCAGACAAACCAGUUUAGAGAAGGCUUGUAAAUGUCAUCCGUACCUUCCUCUUCUCUUAUGAACUAUAUACAUGUGUAUAAACACAGAAAGAUUAAACAACGAAAUGACACAAACACGCUCAUUCAAACGCACAUAUAUACGUGCAGACAUGCAUAGAUACAUAGAUACAUAGAUACAUAGAAACAUAGAUACAUAGAAACAUACAGACAUAGAAACACACACACACACACACACACACACACACACGCACACACACACACAUAUACAUACACAUAUACAUACAUAUAAGGACAUAAAAGACACAUAGAUACAUUACCGUAUACAUGAUAUGUAGGGUUAUGACUUUUUGAUUUUUUGGGAAGUAAACAAUUUUCUGUAUUAAAAAUCGAUGAGCAAUUUUAUAAGUAGGGAAAAUAGCCUUUAUUUUAAGUUUUUUUAAAAAAAAACGUCACCCCAAACUGAAGAAAUCUAACACCACUUUUAACCCAAAUCAUGCAAAAUUCUAAGGGGUUUCAUAAUGUCUACUCAGGUUUUUACCAAACUUGGAGUAUAUCUCAAAUUUCAGUUUCAAGUUUAAGUAGUUUAGGAGUUAUAGAGUUUUUAAUUUGUUACCACGUGGGCCCUACUUUAGGAAAUAUCCACUUCGUCUCCUUUUUAUUUCUGUGACGCUAAAACUCUCAUUAUAUUAACUGUUUUUCAGAAUAGUGGGCUUAUCCAAUUACAGUAUCUAAAAUAAUGUCUCAUAAGAGAAGUGCUUGUGUCACUCAAAUAAACAAAAAAAUCUGGACGAAGAAUCCAGAUUUCAGAACUUACAUAGGAAAAGAAGACGUGUUCCUCUAGAAAAGCAUUCUUUGGAAAACAACUGCAGGAUACUAAUGAAACUUCAAAUUGUCGGUCCCUUUUUGUUUCUUGAAGGUACCAUCAUGGAAGGAAAGAAAGAACAAAGGAGAUUUCGAAAGAAGUAAUCUUUUUGUGGCAAAAGAAAGUAAAUUUCCCAUAUUUAGAAAUUCAAAAUGUACAAGCAAAAGUAGAAAAAGUGCUGAAUACUUACGAUAAAUGUAUAAAACAAGGAAAAUACAAUUCAUUGAAAGGAAUUUUUGACAUCACAAAGGAAAACGGUGAAUGACUAAUUUCAACAAUGGUGAAGAAAAGAUUACUGAAUUAGCAGGAUGACGAGAUGACAUGAAAUUUUUAUUUCAUUUGACCAGAGCUUUCGUUUCUUUGAAGAAACCGACAAAUUUCCUACUGUAAAAUUUCAAAAAAUACCCAACUUAAGUAAUACAAGAUGGAAUUCUCGAGCAAUACUAGCUCUUUUGGCAUUUCUUCUACCAGGGAAAUGAGUUUUGUUUCUGAGCAGAGUUUUGGUUUACUGACCGAAUGUUCAAUGCACAUUAUUCUCAGAAGUUAUGUGGUAGCCUGCAAGUUCAUAAAAAAACAUUGAACUUUGUAAAAAGCUUUUGGAAUCGAAAACCACCAAAACUGGAAAUUCCCAGAACAAACCAGAGUGCAGAACGGGCACUCAAAUGGCUUCAAGAUCUUUAUGAUGUUUGUAGAAAGGUGAAACUUCAGCUUCGAUUAAUUUUUUCUAACAAAACAUAUUAAUUCUGUUAUGUUUAAAAAUUUGCUAACAUUCAGCACCCUUUUUCUUAUACAGUUAUUUAAAAUUGGAAUUAAACCUAUAAAGUUAAAAA